AAAAAGGAAACCCCAAAGCUCCGCACACGUAUUCCAAGGUCGCAAUCGCAUCCCACUCCAUCGAUCGAUUUAGUUGUAGGCGUCCGGGUUGGCGACGAGGUAGCCCUCGGCGGCCUUGAAGAUGGCGGUGACGGACUCCUUGGCCUUGGCGACGUCGUCCUCCUUCAUCUCCACGCUCGGCAGCGGCUUGUACGUCGACUCCACCUUCACCACGCUGCCGCCGCCGGCCGCCGGCUCCACCUUGAUGUGCGACGUCGCGGACUCGAUGGCCACGCCGAUGCCGCCGCCCUCGACGAGGGUGGACUUGCACUCGCACUUGUCCACGUCCAGGAACUCGAGCUUCUCCUUCAUGAAGCUGAACGGCAUGGCUGCAAGAGCAACGAUAAUUAAUCACCGGCAACAACACGUUUGGCUGGCUUGGAGGAUGUGCCGCGGGCGCUUACCUGAGGUGAAGUUGAACUGCCUGACGCUGCCGACGCCGCCCUCGCCCUCCACGGGGUGGGCGCUGGCGACGACGAGGGAGACGAGCUUGGGAGCCAGGGUGUGCCAGUCCAUCACCGCGGCGCGGAACAGGCGCGGCGCGGCCACCGGGGACGCGAUCUCGAGGGUCCAGCUGUUGGCGGAGGCCAUUGGUGCACUAGCGAUCGGCCGAGCAGAAACGAUCUUACGAUCAGCUCAGUGCGGGGCAGUGCUGCUGUAAGUUUGAAGCUGCUGCUGCUUGUGUU
rnacentral:lncRNA from 1 species